rnacentral:rRNA from 1 species
UACAGAGGGUGCAAGCGUUAAUCGGAAUUACUGGGCGUAAAGCGUGCGUAGACGGUUGCGUAAGUCAGAUGUGAAAGCCCCGGGCUCAACCUGGGAAUUGCAUUUGAGACUGCGUAGCUAGGGUGCGGAAGAGGGAAGCGGAAUUUCCGGUGUAGCGGUGAAAUGCGUAGAUAUCGGAAGGAACACCAGUGGCGAAAGCGGCUUCCUGGUCCCGCACCGACGUUCAGGCACGAAAGCGUGGGGAGCAAACAGG